ACAGACACUAUGUCAGGCUCUUAACCCGCUAAGUCACAAUGGGAACUCCUAUAGUGAGAAAACUUAACUGAUGCCCGUUGCUGGCUUUAAAGAUGGAGAGAAGGGGAGCCAAAGAGGCGGGAGGCCUCUAAAACCUGGAAAAGGCAAGGAAUGGAAGUUCCCAUCAUGACGCAGCAGAAAUGAAUCCGACUAGGAACUGUGAGGUUGUGGGUUCAAUUCCUGGCCUCGCUCAGUGGGUUAAGGAUUCGGCAUUGCCGUAAGCUGUGGUAGGUCGCAGACACAGCUCAGGUCUGACGUUGCUGUAGCUGUGGUGUAGGCUGGCAGCCAUAGCUCCAAUUUGACCCCUUGCCUGGGAACCUCCAUAUGUCGCGGGUACAGUCCUAAAAAGACAAAAAAGAAAGAAAAGGCAAGUAAUGGAUUCCUCCUUAAAGUCUUCAGAAGGAAUCAGAGCCCUGCAGACACAUUGAUUUAUCUUGCCGAUACUCAUUUCAUCAAAGAUUCCAGUUCUGACCUCCAGAACUGUAAGAUAAGACUUAUAGCUAUAACUGACAUGAUAAGACUUACAUAUCUUAUAACUAUAAGAUAUGUCCUAGGCCUCUACCCAAACAAAACUCUAAUUCAAAAAUAUACAUGCUCCCCUAUGUUCACUGCAGCACUGUGCACAAUAGCCAAGACAUGGAAACAACCCAAAUGUCCAUCAACAGAGGAAAGGAUUAAGAAGAUAUGGUACAUGUACACAAUGGAAUACUACUAAACCAUAAAAAGAAUGAAACAAUGCCAUUUGCAGCAACAUGGAUGGACCCAGAGAUUAUAAGGUCCUAAGCAAAGUAAGUCAGAAAGAGAAAGACAAAUACCAUAUGAUACACUUAUAUGUGGAAUCUAAAAUAUGUCACAAAUGAACUUAUUUACAAAACAGAAACAGGAGUUCCCGUCCUGGUGCAGUGGUUAACGAAUCCGACUAGGAACCAUGAGGUUGCAGGUUCGAUCUCUGGCCUUGGUCAGUGGGUUAAGGAUCCGGCGUUGCCAUGAGCUGUGGUGUAGGUCACAGAUGCGGCUCAGAUCCUGCGUUGCUGUGGCUGUGGUGUAGGUCGGCGGCUACAGCUCUGAUUAGACCCCUAGCCUGGGAACCUCCAUAUGCUGCAGGAGCGGCCCUAGAAAAGACAAAAAAAAAAAAAACAGACCCACAGACGUAGAGAACAGAUAUGUGGAUGCUAAGGGAGAGGGGGCAAGGACUGGGAGCUUGGGAUUAGCAGAUGCAAACUAUUAUACUGAGAAUAGAUAAACAACAAGAUCCUACUGUGUAGCACAGGGAAAUAUAUUCGAUAUCCUGUGAUAAACUAUAAUGGAAAAGAAUCUGAAAAGGAUUUAUGUAUGUAUAAGUGAAUCACUUUGCUGUACGGUAGCAAUUAACACAACAUUGUAAAUCAAUUAUACUUCAAUACAAUUUUUUAAAAAAGAAAUGUGUGUUGUUUUAGACCACUAAAUGGGUGGUCAUUUGUUCAGCAGAAAAAAGAGGAACUAGUAUAGGCAUACUGUGGCCAGUUUGCCACAGUCCCCACCAUUCCCUAUUACCCUUCUCCAUUUCAGUUAUUUCUAUUUCUUGCCUGGCUUCUACUGGCACAUGAGUGUUUAGACUCUACCUUAAGCCAUCAAUCUUCCCCUGAAACCUUGACAACUAAGUAUUUUCUGGUGACUGUAGGAGUCAGUAUUUCUUUAUACAUUUUUGAGAAACAAAGGAUUCUCAAAAAAUGGAUACCAAUCACCGGUAUUAUCCUUCUGUGUCACCAUUUAAAUUUUGCCAAGUAUUUCCUAACAUUUCAUUCCAGCUUCCCAACCCACCACCCUGAGCUGCUUUUAUCAAUUGGGUUUUGACAAAUAAUUAAGCCCAACAACAAAGAGAGGGACUAUAUUCUUGGCAGCUGGCCCUGCUGGAGAUGCAGAGGAGAGGGGUGAAUUUACAACAUAAAAAGUGAUGCUUCAGGCACUGGGCCGUACUCCUCUGGCAGACCACACUGAGGAGGCUACCCUGGGGUGGAAGGACAGUUUUAUCCACAUUUUGUUUUUGUUUUUGGCUCAUAGCGUGGGGAAGUUCCCGGGCCAGGGAUCAAACCGGCACAACAGCAGUGACCUAAGCUGCUGCACAGAUAACACCAGGUCUUUAACCCACUGUGUCACAAGGGAAUUCUAAUUUUAUUCAUAUGUGAUGGACAAAAAAAUGAGCUAUGGAGCCUGACUUCUCUAAAGCCACACAGCAAGCAACCAUGGAACCGGCUAGAGACUCCUCCCUCAUCCCAGAGGCUCUCCCACUAAACUCUGUCCUGCAUCUUUGCUGUGACUUUAUGACCAACUGUGAAACCUCUGAUCCAGCCUCCAAAAGCACCCCAUCUCUGGGGUGAGCAAAAGCUCCUGGGUGGCUGGCAUCCCUCUGCCUAAGCCUCUCACUCCCCCCAAUAUAAUCACCCUCCACUUAGCAGAUUCUACAUUUCAUCUUCCUAAAUGCACAAGCUGUCCCAAAUGUGACUUGAACGUUAACUGCUUGUGUUUGCCCUGCUUGGGGGAAAAAUCUUGCUGCUAUGAAAUGGAAGCUGUUAUGGGCACCUGGAGAUUUUGUCUCUCCAAUCCCAAAUACAUCAUAUAACGGUAAAUAUGAAGUGCCUGGUACCCUAAUUUUAAAUGACAACAUCCGGGACGAUGACGCCUCAGGGAUUUUGAAAUACUAGAGGAACCUACUUCAGAUUAUCUUUCAGCAAGAUUUAUGAUACAGUUGGUUUAAUUUACAUGUCUGGAAACCCGCUCUGCCCAGUUAUCUCUCUGAAGAAGCUGAGCACUUUGAGGUGACAAAAUUAGAAGAGAUUGCCAGUGUUCAGGAAAGGAAAGGCAUGCACCUGAAAAUAUUUAUUAAACUGUCACAAUCAGUACUAACGAUCAUAGUCAAAGGCAUUUCCCCAUUUAAAAACAAAAGCUAAUAAACUGCUUAAAAGAUACAGGGUUUCCCCCGAGGGCCAUGAAAAAGUCCUGGAACUAGAUAGCGGUGAUGGUUGCACAAUAUGACGAGAGUACUUGAUACUAUUGAAUUGUUCACUUUGGUUAAAAUAGUACAGGAAAAGAUGCUCAACAUGGUUAAUUAUUAGAGAAACGCAAAUCAAAACUAUAAUGAGGGACUGCCUCACACCGGAGCAUCCUCAGCACCCAGAGCCCCAGACCCCACCGUGCCCACCUACCCUGUGGCGCUGACCCUCAUUCCUGCCUCCUCCAUCAGCACUGAUGGGUCUUUUCCUGAAGCUCAAGGCCAAGCCUUGUACCUUGACUGCAAUUUAGAAUGACCCGGGGAGCUUUCAAAAGUGCUCAUGUAUGGCCUUUUCCCAGACCCAUGGAGCCAGGGCCUCUGGAGCAUAGUCUACGAGCUGGACACACCAGAUGGUCUAAGGCACCCCUGGCUCUCUAGUCUUCAUGGAUCCAUUCUCAUUCAUUCUCAUUUCAUAAAGAGCUACCAUAGGCCCUCUCAAGUAAAACACACACACUCAAAUCUCUCUCUUUGGAUAAUGCAUUUUUGGGGAUUUUUUUUUCUUUUUUAUGGGUGCACCUGCAGGACAUGGAAGUUCCCAUGCUAGAGGUCGAAUCAGAGCUGCUGCUUCCAGCCUACACCACAACCACAGCAAUGCCAGAUCUGAGCCACAUCUGAGACCUGCGCAACAGCCUGCAGCAAUGCUGGAUCCUUUAACCCACUAAGCGAGGCCAGGGAUUGAACCCGCAUCCUCCAGUACACUAUGUUGAGUUCUUAACCGGCUGAGCUAGAAUGGGAGCUCUCGAUGAUGCAUUUUCACCUUAAAAACUUGUUAGCAACCUGGGUUCUUGGCCUUCCUUAAUCAAUAGAUAUUGGUAAGCGGUCAGGCAAGAGAUUCCAGCAAGGCUGCAGCGGGGGUGGGGUGGAGGGGUUGAAAACAAGCAACAGGUUCGCUGGCUUGCUUCUCCCUAAGCAGGGGAGUGCGAGCUGGUUCUUUAUAUGGGGUGAGGGUAGGGGUGGGCCCAGGAGUGGGGCCAGAGGGGUGGCUUAGGUGUUCUGCCCACCCAUUUGGUGGUGGUGUGUGCAGGGGGCAUGCGUAGUACCCUAUUUUUGUUCCCGGCACACUGCUUUUGCUGUCAAUUCCUCCCAAGUGGCAUUUGGGUUUUUAGUUUUUUGUCUAUCUUCCUGUCCUGUAAUUUGCCCCAGCUGCGCAUACACAGUUAUUUUUAGUCCCUUAGAGUUUCUUUGUAUUCUGUUGUGCGAGAUGUUUGUCCAGGUGCAAACACUGCAGCCACUGUAGCCAAGGGUCCCAGGUCCCAGACUGUCUCAGAAUGACUUCCCCACAAAAAAAACCUGAGGUUCAGUGACACCCAGCGGGGAAGUGAUUUCUGGAGGGAAAAGCUUGGACGUCCCUGAGAUGCUGGUGAUUGCAAUGGUAAUGUGGAAUUGGGGGCUGUUUUCCCCGGGGAGCUUAGUGGAGACGUGUGCGGAGUGGUGGUUGGAGCCGGCUUCCAGCACAGCCACCCUACCUUGGAUGGGGAGGGAGCAGGCUGUGUUCUCCCCCCAGAAGGAGGGUACCUCUGC
rnacentral:lncRNA from 1 species